CGGUGUUGUCUAUGGAGUAUUGAAGGGCAAGACUCUCAGAGUUUUAGAUUUAAAGGGGACUCUAAAUAGUUCCCUUGUUUGGUUGCAAGACACGCCCUCAGAUAACCAGCUAAUAAAUAUCUGGUUGGAGCCAUUCCUGGGCUUGCUCUGAGGAUGACGGUCCCAGGUUUAGAGGAUUCAUCAUGGGCACCUAAAACAAACAACGACUGGCAAGAAGGGACCCCUGUAUAAAAUAAAUACCUUGUCUGGAAUCCCAUGCUUCCCACUGUUGAGGCUGGUCUUCCUGCUUCUGCCUCCUGACUGCCAGCACGGCCACUGCACCCCAG
rnacentral:lncRNA from 1 species